UACCAAUUUAAUGAAAACAUUUACAAGCAGUUUCCAGAAACAUUGAAAAAACAGAAAAUACACCAUAAUCUUCAUACUGAGCAACAAAUCAGACUUCAUGGGGUCCCUAUAGGUUAUACUACUGAGACAGGGGAAAGCUGGUGUGGUAUAGUCAAACAUUUUCAGAGCAUUACAAACCACCACAAUGCCAACAAAGACACAGCUUUGAAGUUAGCUCAUGUUGAGGAAGUUUGCCAUAUCAUUGACAGUGGGACAUGGUUUUCAAAUGGGAAAAGAGUUCAACCUGCACAACAGACAAUUGAAGAGAUAAAUCAUCCACGGAUUCAAACUUUUGUAAUGGGAAAUAGGACACAGAAAGAAGAUGAACAAAUUAUAGGAGUGAAAAGAAAUGUAGGAGACGAAAUCAGAAACAUGAAAAGGAAGGAUGGAAGUAAAUUAAACAUUGGAGAAAUUGUUUAUUUUAAAUUAGAUGACCAUAUUAAUUAUGGUAAAAUUGACUGCAAAACCAGUUCAGAUGUUACUGUUUUGUUGAUGAUACCUCACCAGGAAGAUCCCUUAUUCCAUUGCAAGAGCCUUACACUCACCACAAGAAGAAAAAGCUUGCCUUACAAUAUCAUUGAGGGCUCUUUGUUUGUAUCUCAUGAUUGUAGAAAUGGUGGAUGCUGUUCCAUGGUUACAAACCAAUCUAUUAGACAAUUUCGUCAUAAUUAUAAACAUGGUGUCUAUCUUAUUAACAGAUUUAAAAUUCAUUUUAAUUAUAAACAAUUUAAUUCCUGAUUUAAGGGCAUACUAUAUAGUUAAGCUAUAUGUUCAUGUUAAACACAAUAAAGGGAACAGUCCAAGUUUGCACCUGGGGUAAGAAAUAGAGAUCAGCACAAUUGAAAAAGAAUUGUUAUCCUUAAUUAAUAAUAUUCGAUUUUUAUAAAACUUAUUUGGUAAGUGAAAAAACUACUGGAAAUGUUUUACAUUUUAAUUUUACAUUCUAAUUUGUAUUUGGUUAGGCAAGUGCUCAGGUCACAGACACUACUGGUAAUAAUCACCUCUGGAAAUGUAUGUCUUUAAUAAAAUAUAACAAGUCUUUAAAGCACUAUUAUAAUUCCAAAAUCAACUAAUUAUUAUACCAAACAAAGAAAUCACAGGAAAAAUGUAAUAUCUUUUAUAUUCAGAAAAAAAUAAUACCACCAUUCUUAAUAAAUGAAAAACCGGAUUAUUGGCUACCUUUUUCCAUAAAUUUUCUGAAAACAUCAAUACUUUAGGUGAAUAAAAUUUAGUCAAAUAUAUUUUUCCGUCAGUCAUACUACUGGAAUUGUAAAUAAGUCAAAAAUAAAGGAAAAUUUACCAUAGAAUAUACUUGUGGUCAUCAAAAUAACUUUUAAAUGCAUUCUUCAAACAAACAAAAAACUCUAAUGUCAAAUACAGAUCUAUAACAAUUCUACAUGAUUGUGUUCAUAAUAUGAAUUUGAAAUAAUACCAAAAAAACUCAUCUUUUCAGUUUAUAACCAACUGAUACAAAAUUGUU